rnacentral:rRNA from 1 species
AACGAACGCUGGCGGCGCGCCUAAUACAUGCAAGUCGAGCGAGAAGACGUAGCAAUACGUUUGUAAAGCGGCGAACGGGUGAGGAAUACAUGGGUAACCUACCCUAGAGUGGGGAAUAACUAGCCGAAAGGUUAGCUAAUACCGCGUACGCUCCUUGGACUUCGGUUCAGGGAGGAAAGCGAUGCCGAGGGUAUCGCGCUCUUGGAUGGGCUCAUGUCCUAUCAGCUUGUUGGUGAGGUAACGGCUCACCAAGGCUUCGACGGGUAGCUGGUCUGAGAGGACGAUCAGCCACACUGGCACUGCGACACGGGCCAGACUCCUACGGGAGCAGCAGUAAGGAUAUUGCGCAAUGGGCAAAGCCUGACGCAGCGACGCCGCGUGGGGGA